rnacentral:rRNA from 1 species
AUGAUCAUGUCCGACCCGGCCAUGCUGCCGCCGGGCUUCCGGUUCCACCCGACGGACGAGGAGCUCAUCCUCCACUACCUCCGCAACCGCGCCGCCGAAUCGCCCUGCCCCGUCUCCAUCAUCGCCGACGUUGAUAUCUACAAGUUCGACCCAUGGGCCCUGCCAUCCAAGGCUAGCUACGGGGACAGGGAGUGGUACUUCUUCACGCCGAGGGACCGUAAGUACCCCAACGGUGUCCGGCCGAACCGCGCCGCGGGCUCUGGCUACUGGAAAGCCACCGGCACCGACAAGCCCAUCCGCUGCAGCGCCACCGGCGAGAGCGUCGGCGUCAAGAAGGCCCUCGUCUUCUACAAGGGCCGCCCGCCCAAGGGCAUCAAGACCAACUGGAUCAUGCACGAAUACCGCCUGGCCGCCGCCGACGCGCACGCCGCCAACACCUACCGCCCCAUGAAGUUCCGCAACGCCUCCAUGAGGCUGGAUGACUGGGUGCUGUGCCGGAUCUACAAGAAGACCAGCCAAGCAUCGCCGAUGGCGGUGCCACCGCUGUCCGACCACGAGCUUGACGAGCCUUCUGGCGCUGCCGGCUACCCCAUGUCGAGCGCCGGCAUGAUCAUGCAAGGCGGCGCCGGCGGCUAUCCGCUGCAGGCCGCGGCCGGCGGCACACAGAGGAUGCCCAAGAUCCCGUCCAUAUCGGAGUUGCUCAACGAGUAUUCGCUGGCGCAGCUCUUCGAGGACAGCGGACACGCGCUGAUGGCGCGGCACGAUCAGCACGCCGCCCUUCUCGGUCACCCCAUCAUGAGCCAAUUCCAUGUGAACGGCAUGCCGCAGCUGGGGCAGAUGGAUUCGUCAGCCUCAACGUCGGUGGGAGGCGAGGGUGCCGCCGGGAAGCGCAAGAGGCCGUCGGAGGACGGUGACCGUAACGGGUCGACGAGCCAGCCAGCGGCGGCGGUGACGGGCAAGAAGCCCAACACUUCUUGCUUGGGUGCAACAACGUUCCAAACAGGCAACAACACCUUGCAGGGGUCGUCACUAGGCCAGGGCCAUCAGACGCUGCUCCGUUUCUAA